rnacentral:lncRNA from 1 species
AGGUAGAGCCCGGACAGCCAAAGGUAGGGGUCAGCCCGCAGCAGAUCAUCCCAGAGACGCAGUUCAAGGAGGUUGGAGCCAGCCCCAUUGUUAUGCAUUACCAGCCAGGCCGGAGGCCGAUUCAUAUGAUGCUGUGAUUACAGGUACUAUACUAGUCUGUGAUAGGGGUGCUUCUGUAUUAUUUGAUCCGGAUCUACUUAUUCUGAUGCGUCAUCCUAUUUCGCACCUUAUUUGAUCAUGCCUAGUAAGGCUCUGGGUAUUCAUGUAUCUGUGUCCGCACCGGUUGGUGAUUUUAUAGUGGUCGACCAAGUGCAUCGUUCUUUCCUUGUGGUAUUUGAGGGCCUUGAGACCCGUGUCGAUUUAUUACUUCUAGACAUGGUGGACUUCGAUGUUAUAUUGGGGAUGGACUGGUUGUCUGCGUAUCAUGCUAUCUUGGAUUAUCACGCCAAGACCAUCACUUUGGCCUUGCCUGACAUGCCCCGACUUGAGUGGAGAGGGACCCCAGAUCAUGCCACCCGUAGUGUUAUUCGUAUGUCAAGGCUCGACGUAUGGUCAAGAAGUGGUAUUUAGCAUAUUUGGUGUAUGUUCGCGACUCGAGCACAGAUGUUCCAUCUAUCGACUCUGUUCCUAUUGUUCGGGAGUUCCCCGAGAUUUUUCCUUUAGACCUGCCGGGAAUGCCACCCGACAGGGAUAUUGAAUUCUAUAUUGAUUUGGUUCCGUGCACUCAGCCUAUUUCUAUUCCUCCGUAUCGCAUGACCCCGCUAGAGUUGAAAGAGUUGAAAGAGCAGCUUUAGAAUUUUCUUGAUAAGGAUUUCAUUAGACCCAGUGCAUCACCUUGUGGUGCGUCAGUGUUGUUUGUGAAGAAAAAGGAUGGAUCGAUGAGGAUGUGCAUUGAUUACCGGCAGUUCAGCAAGGUGACGAUAAAGAACAAGUAUCCACUGCGGAGGAUUGACGACUUGUUUGAUCAGCUUCAAGGUUCUAAGGUGUUCUCGAAGAUAGAUUUGAGGUCUGGUUAUCAUCAGCUGAGGAUUAGGGCGUCUGAUGUCCCUAAGACAACAUUUCGUACUCGGUAUGGGCAUUAUGAGUUUUUGGUCAUGUCGUAUGGGUUGACCAAUGCCUCAGCAGCAUUCAUGGAGUUGAUGAACCGAGUAUUCAGGCCUUACUUGGACUUAUUUGUGAUUGUAUUCAUUGAUGAUAUCUUGGUAUACUCCCGCAGUUAGGAGGAGCAUGAGCAGCACCUCAGAGUGGUUCUUCAGACUUUGAAGGAUAGCCAGUUGUACGCAAAAUUCUCAAAGUGCGAAUUUUGGUUAAGUUCAGUAGCAUUCCUGGGUCAUGUCGUAUCAGCAGAGGGUAUUCAAGUGGACCCAAAGAAGAUAGAGGCUGUCAAGAACUGGCCUCUACCAGCUUCAGCUACAAAUAUUCGGAGCUUCUUAGGGUUAGCUGGUUACUACAGACGUUUUGUGGAGGGGUUUUCAUCCAUCGCAGCCCCGAUGACUAGAUUGACUCAGAAGGGUGCCCAGUUGAGGUGGUCAGAUGAGUGUGAGGCGAGUUUCUAGAGGCUCAAGAUAGCUCUGACUAUGGCACGGGUAUUGGUGUUGCCCACGGGAUUCGGGCCUUAUACUGUAUAUUGUGAUGCUUCUCGCAUCGGACUUGGCGCAAUGUUGAUGUAGAACGGAACGGUCAUAGCAUAUGCUUCGAGGCAGUUGAAGAUCCAUGAGAAGAAUUAUCCAGUUCAUGACUUACGCAGUGUUGAUGCAGAAUGGCAAGGUCAUAGCAUAUGCUUCGAUGCAGUUGAAUAUCCACGAGAAGAAUUAUUCAAAUCAUGACCUAGAGUUGGUAGCCAUUGGUCGUGCCUUGAAGACCUGGAGGCACUAUUUGUACGGAGUGACGUGUGAGGUGUACACGGAUCACAAGAGCCUUCAGUACUUUUUCACGCAGAAGGAGUUGAAUUUGAGAUAGCGGAGGUGGUUGGAGUUGCAAAAAGAAUAUGAUGUUUCUAUUUUAUACCAUCCGAGAAAGGCCAAUGUGGUGGCUGAUGCAUUGAGUAGGAAUUCCGCCAGCAUGGGUAGCCGUGCCUAUAUUCCAGUCAGCCAGAGACCGCUUGCCUUGGAUGUUCAUGCCUUGGACAAUAGAUUUGUGAGAUUGGAUAUUUUUGAGCCUAGUAGGGUGUUAGCUUGCACGGUUGCUCGCUCAUCAUUGAUGGAGCGUAUCCGGGAGCGGCAGUUGAUUUGUGAGAUUGGAUAUUUCUGAGCCCAGCAGUGUGUUAGCUUGCACAUUUGCUAGUUCGUCAUUGAUGGAGCGUAUCAAGGAGAGGCAGUUUGAUGAUCUCCAUUUAUGUUUUAAGAGACACGGUGCAGAGGGGAGGUGCCAAUGAGAUGACUUUGGGAGAUGAUGGCAUAUUGAGGUUGUAGGGGCGAGUUUGUGUUCCCAAUAUUUAUGGUAUUCGAGAGUCGAUCUUAGCGGAUGCCCACAGUUCUCGGUAUUCUAUUCACUCGGGCGCCGCGAAGAUCUAUCAGGAUUUGAAACAACAUUAUUGGUGGCAUAGAAUGAAGAAAGACAUUGUUGCAUAUGUGGCUCGUUGUCUAAAUUUUCAGCAGGUUAAGUACGAGCAUCAGAGGUCUGGUGGGUUAUUUCAGAGAAUUGAGCUUCCCAAGUGAAAGUAGGAGAGAAUCACCAUGGAUUUUGUUACUGGCUUUCCGAUGACUCGGAAGAAGUUUGAUGCUAUAUGGGUUACUGUUGAUAGGCUGACCAAGUCAGCGCAUUUUAUCCCANUUCCGAUGACUCGGAAGAAGUUUGAUGCUAUAUGGGUUAUUGUGGAUAGGCUGACUAAGUCAGCGCAUUUCAUCCCAGUUGCCACUACCUAUUCAUCUGACAGGUAUGCUGAGAUUUACAUAAGAGAGAUCGUUCGCCUUCAUGGGGUGUCCAUAUCUAUUAUUUCGGAUCUGGGUCCGCAGUUUACCUCGCAUUUUUGGAGGGCGGUGCAGCAUGAGUUAGGCACCCAGGUCCAGUUGAGUACAACAUUUCACCUCCAGACGGACAGUCAGUCCAAGAGGACCAUUCAGAUUCUUGAGGAUAUGCUCCGAGCCUACGUUAUUAACAUUGGAGGUUCGUGGGAUCAGUUCUUGCCGUUAGCGAAGUUUUCCUACAACAACAGCUACCAGUCCAGUAUUCAGAUGGCUCCAUAUGAGGCGAUGUAUGGCAAGCGAUGUCGGUCCCCAUUCGGAUGGUUUGAGCAGGGAGAGACUUGGUUAUUAGGUUCAGAUUUUGUGCAGGAGGCCUUGGAUAAGGUCAAGAUCAUUCAGGACAAACUUUGGUCAGCUCAGUCCAGGCAGAAUAGUGUUGGAGAUCGUAAGGUCAGGGAUGUUGCUUUAAUGGAUGGUGAGCGAGUGUUGCUCCGUGUAUCGCCUAUGAAGGGCGUGAUGAGAUUCGGGAAGAAUGGAAAGCUUAGCCCUAGGUAUAUUGGCCCGUUUGAGGUUCUGGACCGUAUGGGGAAUGUGGCUUAUAGACUUGCAUUGCCGCGUAGCUUGUCACCCGUGCAUCCGAUUUUUCAUGUAUCCAUGCUUCGGAACUAUCACGGUGAUCCCACCCACGUGUUAUAUUUCAGUACUAUCCAAUUGGACAAGGAUAUGUCAUACGAGGAGGAGACGGUGGCUAUUUUAGAUCGGAAGGUUCGACAGUUGAGGUCGCGGAGUUUUCCUUCAGUGCAGGUUCAGUGGAGAGGUCAGCCUCCUGAGGCAUCGACCUGGGAGUCCGAGUUUGAUAUGCGAAACCGUUAUCCCCAUCUAUUCCCCGACUUAGGUACUCCUUUCUUUUGUCCGCUCGAGGACGAACAGUUGUUUUAGAGGUGGAGGGUGUGACGACCCAAAGGGUCAUCACUAUAAUUCUCCCUUUCCUUGCAAUUCUAAGUUCUUGAAAACCUCUUAUUUGAUUUCCUCGAUUUGUGUAAAGAGUCCGGGAGCGAAGCCGGAAGAUUUUUAUGUGAAAAUAUUUGAAUUCUGUGUUAAAAACUAUGGAUUUUCAUUGUGAUAUUGCUAUAGUUGAUUUUUGUCAACGUUUUGGGUAAACGGACCCGGACCCGUGAUGCGACAAUCCCGGAGGGUCCGUAAUGCAAUUUGGGAUCCGGGGUUAUUCCCGGAAUUGAAAUCCGAGGUCCCAUGCCUGAGUACGAAGCUUUUCUGUGAAAUUGUUUUGAAAAUGCUUAAGGAAAAAUGAAAAUGAAAAUUUGAUCAAAAAUGAUGGUAUCGGGUUCGUAUUUUGGUUCCAAUGCCUGGCACAAGUUUUAAAUGAGCGUUCAGCGUUAUAUGUAAAGUUUGGUUGAAAAUGGACGUCGUUUGGCAUGUUCCGGACGAAAAGUGGAAAAAUUUGGAUGUUUUGAACUUGAAACGAAAAUCAUGAGUUUUGGAGGUUGAUUCUUUGAUUUAGAUGUUAUUUUGGCUAUUUGAUCACAAGAGUAAGUCUGUAGGAUGUUCUUGAGAUAUGGUGCAUGUUUGGGUUGGAGCCCCGAGGGCUCGGGUGAGUUUCGGAUAGGUGUUAGGCUCAUUUUUUUGCAUUUCAACUGUUGGUGUCUGUAGUCUUCGCAUUUGCGAAGACUUAUUCGCAAAUGCGAACCUCCCCCGUUUUCCUUCUUCCUCACAAAUACGGGAAAUAAUCUCGCAAAUGCAACAUUCCUUUGUUUGGCCAGUCUUCGCAAAUGUGACUUCACUCCUCCAAUUGCGAUCCCCCUCUUAGCAACCAGACUUUGCAAAUGCAAAGUCGAAUCUCGCAAAUGCGACUACCCGGCCUAAGUCGCUGGUUUGCAAAUGCGAACCCUUUUCUUGCAAAUGCGAGUUCCAUUUUAUUUUGCCUAGUUCGCAAAUGCGUAGUCGAUGUCGCAUUUGCGACAUCUGCACCCGUGAAUUUUAUACAUAACUGAUUUUAAACCUUAUUUUUCAUAUUUUCAAAACCCAAAACCUUCGUAGACGAUUUCUCUCGAACCGCUUCGUCCCCAAACCAAAUGUACGAAAUUUUUUACUAGUUUUCUUCAAUCCUUAUCAUCUUCUAACAUGAUUUCAUCCUUAAAUCAAAGCUUUCAUGGUUAAAAAAUGGAGAUUUGGGUAGAAUUUAGGUUUUUUAAUAAUUGGGGAUUUUGACAUCAAUUUGGGGUCCGAUUUCAAAACAAAUUGCAUAUAUGAACUCGUGGGGGAAUGGGUAACGUGGUUUUUGUUCGAACCUCGGGUUUUGACCACGUGGGCCCGGGGGCAUUUUGUGAAUUUUCGGGUAAAACCUUGGAAUUUCAUUCUUUUGGAUUCACAUUGAUUUAACUAGAAUUUGUUGAUACAUUUAUGUAAAUUGUGGUUAGAUUCGAUCGGUUUUGAAGAGAAUUCGAGGAGUAAAGCUAUUCUAGAAGCGUGAGUUGAGUUGGAAGCUUCCGAGGUAAGUGUUAGAUAUAAAUUUGUCUUGAGGGAAUAGGAUUAGGUUGUUAUUUGUUAUGUGCUAUGUGGGGAUAGUGUAUAGGUAUGGUGACGGUUACCUAUGUGCCCGAGUCAAGCAUGACUGUGAUGUUAUAUUUGCUAUCAAAAAUUGCGUAGUAAAUGAAAAAUUAUGAUAAUUACUUGUUGCAAGAAUCACGAACUGAAAGUUGGGAAAUAAAUGAACUAAGGAGGAAUUUUUGGUACUUUUCACUCGCCGGGGCCAUUUUUUGAGUUGUAUUCCCUUGUCAGGACCUAUUGGUGAGUUGUAUUUCCAUUGCCGGGAUUUAUUGGUGAAUUAUUCUCCCUUGCUGGGAUAUCUUGUCUUGAUAUAUAUAUAUAUAUAUUUGAUUUCCUCGAUUUGUGUAAAGAGUCCGGGAGCGAAGCCGGAAGAUUUUUAUGUGAAAAUAUUUGAAUUCUGUGUUAAAAACUAUGGAUUUUCAUUGUGAUAUUGCUAUAGUUGAUUUUUGUCAACGUUUUGGGUAAAUGAUAUUCUUGGUGAGAAAUGAGAGUAAAAGAACGAAAGGUGAUGGCGUACAUUAUAAUUGAUUAUUUUGGUGAGGAAUGAGAGUAAAAGCACGAAGGGUGAUGCCGUGCAAGUGUUGAUUCAUUAGCUUUCUUAUUUGAUUAUUAUUUAUUCAGUUCCAUCUAUUGAUUGUAGAAGUUGUAAUUUAACUGGUACUCCCCCAGCAUGUCCUUUUUCCCUUUUAUUUGCUUAAAAUUCUUGCUCUCUUCCUGUUAUUGCAUAUAUGUGUACAAGUUGGUUGUGGUAGGUCCGGUUUAGCCUCGUCACUACCUCGCCGAGGUUAGGCCGGGCACUUACCAGCACAUGGGGUCACUUGUGCUGAUACUAUGCUUCUGUGCCAUUUUGUGCACAGGUCAGACCCAGUCUACGGAACGCAGCUAUAGUUCGGGAGUGAUCUUUCAGUCCAGAGACUCUGAGGUAGUUUGUUGGCGUUCGCGGGCCCCGAGUCUCCUCAAUCUAUUUCUUUCAGUUUGUUUAAUUGUAUCAGACAGACAUGCUAUGUUUUUCCUUCAGACUAUUGUUUUUGGUAAUCUUUAGUUGUCCGUGAGCAGUGACACCAGAUACUGGGUAGAGAUAUGUUGUUAGUUUUUCCGCAUCUUGUUUUCUGUAUUGUUAUUAAAAGACUUCCACAUGUUUUUAUUUAAUUGCUUUAGUAUUUAACUCGUUUAGAUUUAAGUUUCUGUGAAAACGAUAAUAAAGGUUUGCUUGCCUAGAUUCGACAGUAGGCGUCAUCGCGACUACCGAUGGUGGGUAAAUCCGGGUCGUGACAGUAAAACUGAAUGAAAGAGAAAGAGUAAUUAAUCUUUUCCCUCGCCGGGAUGUUUGUUGUUUUGUUGAUUAUCUCCUUUGCUGGGAUGUGAUAUUAUUGAUGUGUUCCCUUCCCGAGAUUUAAUUGUUUAAUUGUGAUCCCUUGGCGGGAUUUCUUUUAUUAUUUGUUUACUCCCUUGCCCUUUGUUUGUGAUUGUUGUUUGGGUGAGGAAGAGUGUUAAAGCACGAAGGGUGAUGUCUUGCAUUAUUUUCUAUUAUGAGGGUAAGAGUGUAAAGCACGAAGGGUGAUAUUGUGCCAUAUGAUUUACCAUUUAGUACCAAUUUUCAUUGAUUAUAUGAUGAAGAAAGAGAGUAAAAGCAUGAAGGGUGAUGUUGUGCACAUUGUUAUUAUAUGACUGAUGUGGUGAGAACGAGAGUAAAAGCAUGAAGAGUGAUGUCGUACACACUUUUAUGAUAAGUUACUUUGGUGAGGACUAGAAUAAAAGCACGAAGGGUGAUGACGUGCAAAUUGUUAUUUUCUGAUACUUGUUUAUAUUUUAGUUAUGUUGUUUAUUUCCUUACUUGAUUCUUUCUAUUCGGAACUGUUAUCUCCCCCACAACAUGGUUCCCCCUCCCACAUUGGCUGGUUAUUUUCUGUAGUUCUUUUCCGUUGUAUAUACAUAUUUGAACUUCACAAGUUUAUUUGGUAGUCUGGUUCUAGCCUCGUUAUUACUUCGCUGAGGUUAGGCUAGACACUUACCAGCACAUGGGAUCGUUUGUACUGAUACUACACUCUGCACUGUGUGCAGAUCCAGGAGCAGCUUUCGGACAGUAGUUGGAGGGCUUCCUUUAGUUUGCAGGCGUCCAUAGGCCCUGGCUUCUCCCUCCAUCCCUUUUCUCUGUUUCAUUUUCUUUCAUUCAGAGACAAUAUAUUGUAUUUUCUUUAGACCUUGGUUGUAGAAACUCUUAGACAGUCUGUGAUACUAUGACACCAAAUUUGGGGUGUUGAUGUUUUAAAAGUUGUAAUAGAUGUAGC